GAAGGAAGGAAGGAAGGAAGGAAGGAAGGAAGGAAGGAAGGAAGGAAGAAAAAGAAAUAUUUGUCCUAUCUCUGUCACAAGGUAGUAUGAUUUAGUGGAGGACGCACUGGACCCAGAGUUAAGAGGGACCUGGCUUCAAGUCACUGUCCAGACAAUGAUUACCAUUGAAAUCCACGAUCUCAAGGAUAAAAUAAAAAUGUCUGACAUCCCAUCCAAGAAAGAACAGACAAGAGACUUCUUUUUUUAUGACUUCUAAGCUCACUAUCCAAUUUCCUUCACAAGAAACCUGAAUUUUUUAGGACUAGUCUAAUUUGCCAAAGCUGAAUUAAUCUUCUCUUCUAUAUAAGACCUUGCAUUUGGACAGUGUUUUAUUUUAAUAAAUGACUUCGCUAAAGUUAUUUUCUCUUCC